UGCGGUACGUGUGUGUUGAAUAGUCUCAGAGGACAUGGGAGGAUAAAGGCUGGAUAAGUGUGGUGUGGCUCUGUGUAAUCUGCAUAAUGGCAAGGGACCGUCAAGGACGGGACAAGUGGUCUGGGGGGGACUCCGCAAUGGGGGAGGCUGACAUCUGUCGCUGUGCUCCUCAGAGACUCCCGGUGGAUCAUGUUGCCGGGCCUUUCUAUUGACGGCUGGACUGCUGCCAUCUGCGUCCUAACUGACGCACAAUGACCGCUCGGGGCCUUUAUAAAGACGGAGACAAACGACAGAGGGCCAGUGUGGACAAGUACUGCAGAGCGAAUAGGGCGCACUGUGAUUAGACACGCCUCAUUCCAAUUUCUGGGCUCGACUUUAACAGCAAAAUCUUAUUGAGGUUGUUUAUAACGCGUCGAGUGUGCUUCCUGACAGUCACCAUGCCAAAGGGUUUCCUUAUAAAACGUUCUAAAAAGGCUGGUCCUGUUUCAUACAGGAUACGCGAGGAGGACUUGGCGCUGGACGCCAACUGCUCUUCGCUGGUCGAGAAUGCCCCGGCUCAUGCACUGCCUUGCCACAACUUUAUCAGAGUUCCCAGCCGGGGUAUUUUCGGUGGAAUGCCAGAGUGUCACUGUGCGCCUUCACUGAGCCCGACCCGGCCUGACAGCGAGGGAUAUCAAUACACACCCGUGGACGCCGCUCAUCAAAUGCUAAGCUCUCUUUCUUCUGCUCCAGCAGAUACCUUCCCCGAGGCAAAUUUGGGAAGUUUCACCAUUGAUGGUUCCCCAGUGUCGUCGUCUCUUCAGGAGAUGACCACCAGACUGGACACCAUGUGCGGGAAUGCUAAAUAUGCAGCAGUGAAGCGGCCUGCCUCCUCCAACGCUAAAUCUCCCCAUACGAAUUCUAAAAAGCGCAGGUCCUCAAGCUCCCAAAACCAAGAGAAGAAGUCCAGCCUCCGGGAUCAGGUAACCACAUCUCCCGUCCUCGGAUUGCGCAUUACAGAGGAGGCAGAGGAUGAGGUGAAGCAACGCUCCAACACCAGCAUUCCGCUUGGAGAAUUCAUCUGUCAGCUUUGCAAGGAGCGGUACGCAGACCCUCUCACUUUGGCCUUCCACAAGUGCUCUCGCAUCGUCCGAAUCGAAUAUCGCUGCGACGAGUGUGACAAAGUGUUUAGUUGUCCCGCUAACCUGGCCUCCCACCGACGUUGGCACAAGCCAAAGGGUUUCCAAGUGGAGAGAGUCUCAUCACAGAGAGAGGAGAACCGACCUGACACACCAACAGCCAGAGAGGCGCUCCCACCCUCCCCGCCACCCUCAGACUCGGGCUCUGAUGAAGAAAUUAUGUUCAGCUGCCCACAGUGCUCAAAGAAAUUCAGAAAACAAGCGUACCUGAGGAAACACUUGGCCUUGCACAAUAGGAAGGCAGCUAGUCAUCCUCAGAAUCAGUCUCAUUCGGCCAAAGUCUCCGACCAACAACCCAGCAGCCUGCUCGAGUCCCGCCCAGAAACACCCGAGCCCUCCUCCAAAUACGCAGGGACUGAGUGCAUCACAAAGGUGACAGGAGAGGUGUUUCCGUGUCGAUUUUGUAGUGAAAAUGUAUUCUCCUCCUCUGGCCUCACCAGACACAUAAACAAAUAUCACCCAACGGAGAGCAGACAGGUCAUCGUUUUGUCUCAAACGAUUUAAUAACAUCAGACUGUUUGUUUCGGGCAUUAUGACUGAAUUCCAUGUUUGGACAGAGUUCUUGUAAACAAUUGUUGUGAAAUCAGAAAUAUUUCUCCUGAAUAGUUGGCUAUAGUUUUGUGUAAAUUAGUUUUGUUUUCUACAAAGUUAUAUUUAUCUAUCUAUCUAAUCAAUUAUUUAUUUGAUAUUUAUUUAUUUGUUUAUUUAAUAAUGUAUGUGUUUGUUUAUUUAUCUGCCCACAUUUGUAUUAAUCAUGUUGCUUUUGACUGUGAUGAUUUGCGUAAUGAUAAAAAAGCUAUUUCGCAUUGCCUCUAAUUACCUCUGACCAAAUUAAUGUCAUCUUUUUCGUUGAAACAAUAUUACCAUGCCAACUUCUUCCUAAAAUAAUAAAGGGAGUAUAAAUCU